rnacentral:rRNA from 1 species
CACUUUGCUUGGAUUCUUCGGAUGAAGAGGAUUGUGACUGAGCGGCGGACGGGUGAGUAACGCGUGGGUAACCUGCCUCAUACAGGGGGAUAACAGUUAGAAAUGACUGCUAAUACCGCAUAAGACCACAGCACCGCAUGGUGCAGGGGUAAAAACUCCGGUGGUAUGAGAUGGACCCGCGUCUGAUUAGCUAGUUGGUAAGGUAACGGCUUACCAAGGCGACGAUCAGUAGCCGACCUGAGAGGGUGACCGGCCACAUUGGGACUGAGACACGGCCCAAACUCCUACGGGAGGCAGCAGUGGGGAAUAUUGCACAAUGGGGGAAACCCUGAUGCAGCGACGCCGCGUGAGUGAAGAAGUAUUUCGGUAUGUAAAGCUCUAUCAGCAGGGAAGAAAAUGACGGUACCUGACUAAGAAGCACCGGCUAAAUACGUGCCAGCAGCCGCGGUAAUACGUAUGGUGCAAGCGUUAUCCGGAUUUACUGGGUGUAAAGGGAGCGUAGACGGAUGGGCAAGUCUGAUGUGAAAACCCGGGGCUCAACCCCGGGACUGCAUUGGAAACUGUUCAUCUAGAGUGCUGGAGAGGUAAGUGGAAUUCCUAGUGUAGCGGUGAAAUGCGUAGAUAUUAGGAGGAACACCAGUGGCGAAGGCGGCUUACUGGA